rnacentral:rRNA from 1 species
CCUACGGGUGACAGCAGUGAGGAAUAUUGGUCAAUGGACGAGAGUCUGAACCAGCCAAGUAGCGUGAAGGAUGACUGCCCUAUGGGUUGUAAACUUCUUUUAUAUGGGAAUAAAAUGUUCCACGUGUGGGAUUUUGUAUGUACCAUAUGAAUAAGGAUCGGCUAACUCCGUGCCAGCAGCCGCGGUAAUACGGAGGAUCCGAGCGUUAUCCGGAUUUAUUGGGUUUAAAGGGAGCGUAGGUGGAUUGUUAAGUCAGUUGUGAAAGUUUGCGGCUCAACCGUAAAAUUGCAGUUGAAACUGGCAGUCGUGAGUACAGUAGAGGUGGGCGGAAUUCGUGGUGUAGCGGUGAAAUGCUUAGAUAUCACGAAGAACUCCGAUUGCGAAGGCAGCUCACUGGACUGCAACUGACACUGAGGCUCGAAAGUGUGGGUAUCAAACAGGAUUAGAUACCUCAGUAGUC